GGCUAAGUCAUGGCCAGCGACCGUGGUAAUACGUAGGGCCCGCUGGUUGUCCGGUGUUAGUGGGCGUAAAGCGAGCGCAGGCGGUUUGAUGAGUCUGAAGUAAAAGGCUGUGGCUUAACCAUAGUAUGCUUUGGAAACUGUCAAACUUGAGUGCAGAAGGGUAGAGUGGAAGUCCAUGUGUAGCGGUGAAAUGCGUAGAUAUAUGGAGGAACACCGGUGGCGAAAGCGGCUCUCUGGUCUGUAACUGACGCUGAGGCUCGAAAGCGUGGGGAGCAAACAGGAUUAGAUACCCGAGUAGUC
rnacentral:rRNA from 1 species